rnacentral:misc_RNA from 1 species
UCUCCGUUGGUGAACCAGCGGAGGGAUCAUUACAGGACUCGCAAGACUCCUUCACCCUGUGAACCUCACUACAAGCACGUUGCUUCGGCGGGUGUCCCGGCGGGGGUUUUCCCUCGCCGGGGCGCACAGCCCGCCGGCAGCCUACUAUACUCUGUCUCUCUGCGUUGGCAUCUCGAGAAAAAACAAACAAGUUAAAACUUUCAACAACGGAUCUCUUGGUUCUG